AUGUGUUUACCCAAAUGCAAAGGUGGUAUGGGUUUUCGUGAUUUGCAUGCUUUUAAUCUUGCCAUGCUUUCUAAACAAAGUUGGAGACUUAUUACUCAUCCAGAUACACUGUGUGCGAAGGUACUUAGAGCUAAGUACUAUAAUGGCAACUUAUUAAGUGCAAGGACAAAGAAGGGACCAUCCUUCACAUGGCAGAGCAUUGUGGCUGGUUUACAAACUUUCAAGAGGGGUAAUAUUUGGAGAGUGGGUACAGGCUCUCAAAUAAAUAUCUGGAAUGACCCAUGGAUAUCACAGAGCCCUACAAGAAAGGUUCUAACCAGAAGGGGCCAAGCUCUUGUUGAGAAAGUGGAAGAUCUUAUUGACCCAGCCACUCAUUCAUGGGAUGAAGCUCUUAUCAGAAGCAUCUUUGUUUCAAUAGACGCGGAAAGAAUUCGGAAAAUCCCAUUGUCUGAACACUUGUCGGAAGACUUUGUAGCAUGGCAUGCCACAAAGUCGUUUUGCUUUUCAGUGAGAUCUGCGUACUAUAUUGAAUGGGAGCAUCAAUUUGGAGCAAGAUUAGGCCGAGAGCAACCACAAACAUCUAGAGAUAAUCCGGUUUGGGAUGUCCCGUGGAAGCUACAUGUACCGAGUAAAGUCAAAAAUUUUGUUUGGCGAGCACUACAUGGAGUGGUUCCAGGGAAGUGCAUAUUGCAUAAUCGACAUAUUAAGGUCAGUGCCGAGUGCCCUUUGUGUCGAGAGGGUCCUUUGUGUAGCUGCGUGGUAUAUUUGGUGGGAACGUCGGGAAGCCGUGAAGGGCGAGUCGACUAA
rnacentral:rRNA from 1 species